GAUGAACGCUAGCGAUAGGCUUAACACAUGCAAGUCGAGGGGCAGCAUGGUCUUAGCUUGCUAAGGCUGAUGGCGACCGGCGCACGGGUGCGUAACGCGUAUGCAACUUGCCUCACAGAGGGGGAUAACCCGUCGAAAGACGGACUAAUACCGCGUACACUCUAUGUUGGGCAUCCAAUGUAGAGGAAAUGAAAUUCGCUGUGAGAUAGGCAUGCGUCCCAUUAGCUAGUUGGUGAGGUAACGGCUCACCAAGGCGACGAUGGGUAGGGGAACUGAGAGGUUGAACCCCCACACCGGUACUGAGACACGGACCAGACUCCUACGGGAGGCAGCAGUGAGGAAUAUUGGUCAAUGGGCGAGAGCCUGAACCAGCCAAGUCGCGUGAAGGAUGACUGUCUUAUGGAUUGUAAACUUCUUUUAUACGGGAAUAACAAGAGUCACGUGUGGCUCCCUGCAUGUACCGUAUGAAUAAGCAUCGGCUAACUCCGUG
rnacentral:rRNA from 1 species